UGGCGGCGUGCCUAAUACAUGCAAGUCGAGCGGACCGACGGGAGCUUGCUCCCUUAGGUCAGCGGCGGACGGGUGAGUAACACGUGGGUAACCUGCCUGUAAGACUGGGAUAACUCCGGGAAACCGGGGCUAAUACCGGAUGCUUGAUUGAACCGCAUGGUUCAAUCAUAAAAGGUGGCUUUUAGCUACCACUUGCAGAUGGACCCGCGGCGCAUUAGCUAGUUGGUGAGGUAACGGCUCACCAAGGCGACGAUGCGUAGCCGACCUGAGAGGGUGAUCGGCCACACUGGGACUGAGACACGGCCCAGACUCCUACGGGAGGCAGCAGUAGGGAAUCUUCCGCAAUGGACGAAAGUCUGACGGAGCAACGCCGCCGUGAGUGAUGAAGGUUUUCGGAUCGUAAAACUCUGUUGUUAGGGAAGAACAAGUGCCGUUCGAAUAGGGCGGUACCUUGACGGUACCUAACCAGAAAGCCACGGCUAACUACGUGCCAGCCGCGGC
rnacentral:rRNA from 1 species